rnacentral:rRNA from 1 species
AUGAACGCUGGCGGUAUGCUUAACACAUGCAAGUCGAACGAAAGCUUUAUGCUUUAGUGGCGAACGGGUGCGUAAUACGUGAGAAUCUGCCCUUAGGAGGAGAAUAACUUCUGGAAACGGUUGCUAAGUCUCCAUAUGCCGAGAGGUAAAAUAGUUUACACUGCCUAGGGAUGAGCUCACGCCUGAUUAGCUUGUUGGUAAGGUAAUGGCUUACCAAGGCCACGAUCAGUAGCUGGUUUGAGAGGACGGUCGGCCACACUGGAACUGAGACACGGUCCAGACACCUACGGGUGGCAGCAGUCGAGAAUCAUUCACAAUGGGGGAAACCCUGAUGGUGCGACGCCGCGUGGGGGAUGAAUGGCUUCGGUCAGUAAACCCCUGUCAUUAGUGAACAAACCUUUUAGGGUAAUACCUUAAAAGCUGAUAGUAGCUAAAGAGGAAGGGACGGCUAACUCUGUGCCAGCAGCCGCGGUAAUACAGAGGUCCCAAGCGUUGUUCGGAUUCACUGGGCGUAAAGAGUGCGUAGGUGGUUAGGUAAGUUUGAUGUGAAAGCUCCGAGCUCAACUCGGAAAUUGCAUUGAAAACUGCUUGACUAGAGGGUCGGAAGGGAGACUGGAAUUUUCGGUGUAGCAGUGAAAUGCGUAGAUAUCGAGAGGAACACCAGUGGCGAAGGCGAGUCUCUGGACGAAUCCUGACACUGAGGCACGAAAGCUAGGGGAGCAAACAGGAUUAGAUACCCUGGUAGUCCUAGCCGUAAACGGUGCACACUUGCUAUGAGCGGAUUCGACCCCGUUCGUGGCGUAGCUAACGCGUUAAGUGUGCCGCCUGGGGAGUACGGUCGCAAGAUUAAAACUCAAAGAAAUUGACGGGGGCCUGCACAAGCGGUGGAGUAUGUGGCUUAAUUCGAUGCAACGCGAAGAACCUUACCUGGCCCUGACAUGCUUGUGGUAAAACCCUGAAAGGGGAAUGACCUCGCAAGAGGAGCUUGCACAGGUGCUGCAUGGCUGUCGUCAGCUCGUGUCGUGAGAUGUUGGGUUAAGUCCCGCAACGAGCGCAACCCUUGUGUCCUGUUGCCACCCGAGCUUCGGCUCGGAGCACUCUGGACAGACUGCCUCGCUUAAACGAGGAGGAAGGUGGGGAUGACGUCAAGUCAGUAUGGCCCUUACGGCCAGGGCUGCACACGUACUACAAUGCCUAAUACAAUGGGACGCAAUACCGCGAGGUGGAGCAAAUCCUUAAAAUUGGGCCCAGUUCGGAUUGUAGUCUGCAACUCGACUACAUGAAGCCGGAAUCGCUAGUAAUGGGGCAUCAGCUACGGCCCCGUGAAUACGUUCCCAGGCCUUGUACACACCGC